rnacentral:rRNA from 1 species
AGUGAACGCUGGCGGUAGGCCUAACACAUGCAAGUCGAACGGCAGCACAGUAAGAGCUUGCUCUUACGGGUGGCGAGUGGCGGACGGGUGAGGAAUACAUCGGAAUCUACUUUUUCGUGGGGGAUAACUUAGGGAAACUUGCGCUAAUACCGCAUACGACCUACGGGUGAAAGCAGGGGAUCUUCGGACCUUGCGCGAUUGAAUGAGCCGAUGUCGGAUUAGCUAGUUGGCGGGGUAAAGGCCCACCAAGGCGACGAUCCGUAGCUGGUCUGAGAGGAUGAUCAGCCACACUGGAACUGAGACACGGUCCAGACUCCUACGGGAGGCAGCAGUGGGGAAUAUUGGACAAUGGGCGCAAGCCUGAUCCAGCCAUACCGCGUGGGUGAAGAAGGCCUUCGGGUUGUAAAGCCCUUUUGUUGGGAAAGAAAAGCAGCAGGUUAAUACCCCGCUGUUCUGACGGUACCCAAAGAAUAAGCACCGGCUAACUUCGUG